CAAUUUUAUAUCCAGCGGUGGUGAAAGCCAUUCUUUCUAUGCACCAAUAUUUGUUUUGAUGAGAAACUCAUCUGCAGCAUCAACUCUCGAGGAAUUAUGAUGGAGUUCAAGAGCCCAUGUUAUAUGAUUAAUCAUAAUAUCUGUUACGGAACAAAUUAUGAGACUAUAAAUGUUGGUCCAUGCCCUCGUCCUCCAACUGAAAAAACAAAAACAAUUCAAAGCACUAAAGCUUCUGGGCUAAAGAAAGCACGCACAUAAAGUUAUGUUUCAUAUUUUUAUUUUCAUAUUAAAAAGUGUAAGUAAUUUAGAAUUUGUAAGAACAAGAAUUUAUAUACUUUAUAAUUUUGAUAUGUUAUGUAGAUUUAGUUUUCCCUCAUGGAUAUAAGUCCAUACAAUGUAUAUUUAUAAAGUAAUUAUUUUUAAUUUCAUCACGUAACCUAUGUGACAUAUGUGCUAUUCACUUUGAGAUUUCUUUAAUUCUUAAGUGUAUUAUCUUAUUUUGUAACCACAAUAACAAUCUUUCUAAAUAUAAUUUAUUUUUCCAAUAUCAUUAUGAAGUAGUUUAGGAGAAGUCAUUUUAAUUUCUUUGUAUUUGUUAUAGUACAAUAGAAAAAUGCUAAAGAAAUAAAAUACUAUUUUUAUUACUUGUAUAUUUUUGAAAACCAUUAAACAUUUGAUUUAUGAA